GUGAAUCAUCGAAUCUUUGAACGCAAAUUGCACUCUCCGGUUUUCCGGGAGAGUAUGCCUGUUUGAGGGUCAGCCUAAAAAAAAUCGACAUUGUUGCUGUUAUUUAAUGGUGACUUUCGUCGGAGAUUGGGUUAUCUUAAACCUUUUUUUUUUUUUUUUUGGUUUAAGCGACUUAAAAUUUUUCUUCACGCUUCCAUGAACGUUUUUAAGGUUUUUUUUUCUUUUUCUUUUAAGGUUUUUCUAUUUUUUUUUUAGCGUUGCCUUCCC
rnacentral:misc_RNA from 1 species